rnacentral:rRNA from 1 species
GACGAACGCUGGCGGCGUGCUUAACACAUGCAAGUCGAACGGAAAGGCCCUGCUUUUGUGGGGUGCUCGAGUGGCGAACGGGUGAGUAACGCGUGAGUAACCUGCCCUUGACUUUGGGAUAACUUCAGGAAACUGGGGCUAAUACCGGAUAGGAGCUCCUGCUGCAUGGUGGGGGUUGGAAAGUUUCGGCGGUUGGGGAUGGACUCGCGGCUUAUCAGCUUGUUGGUGGGGUAGUGGCUUACCAAGGCUUUGACGGGUAGCCGGCCUGAGAGGGUGACCGGCCACAUUGGGACUGAGAUACGGCCCAGACUCCUACGGGAGGCAGCAGUGGGGAAUAUUGCACAAUGGGCGGAAGCCUGAUGCAGCAACGCCGCGUGCGGGAUGACGGCCUUCGGGUUGUAAACCGCUUUCGCCUGUGACGAAGCGUGAGUGACGGUAAUGGGUAAAGAAGCACCGGCUAACUACGUGCCAGCAGCCGCGGUGAUACGUAGGGUGCGAGCGUUGUCCGGAUUUAUUGGGCGUAAAGGGCUCGUAGGUGGUUGAUCGCGUCGGAAGUGUAAUCUUGGGGCUUAACCCUGAGCGUGCUUUCGAUACGGGUUGACUUGAGGAAGGUAGGGGAGAGUGGAAUUCCUGGUGGAGCGGUGGAAUGCGCAGAUAUCAGGAGGAACACCAGUGGCGAAGGCGGUUCUCUGGGCCUUUCCUGACGCUGAGGAGCGAAAGCGUGGGGAGCGAACAGGCUUAGAUACCCUGGUAGUCCACGCUGUAAACGGUGGGUACUAGGUGUGGGGUCCAUUCCACGGGUUCCGUGCCGUAGCUAACGCUUUAAGUACCCCGCCUGGGGAGUACGGCCGCAAGGCUAAAACUCAAAGGAAUUGACGGGGCCCCGCACAAGCGGCGGAGCAUGCGGAUUAAUUCGAUGCAACGCGUAGAACCUUACCUGGGUUUGACAUGGAUCGGGAGUGCUCAGAGAUGGGUGUGCCUCUUUUGGGGUCGGUUCACAGGUGGUGCAUGCCUGUCGUCAGCUCGUGUCGUGAGAUGUUGGGUUAAGUCCCGCAACGAGCGCAACCCUUGUUCACUGUUGCCAGCACGUUAUGGUGGGGACUCAGUGGAGACCGCCGGGGUCAACUCGGAGGAAGGUGGGGAUGACGUCAAGUCAUCAUGCCCCUUAUGUCCAGGGCUUCACGCAUGCUACAAUGGCUGGUACAGAGAGUGGCGAGCCUGUGAGGGUGAGCGAAUCUCGGAAAGCCGGUCUCAGUUCGGAUUGGGGUCUGCAACUCGACCUCAUGAAGUCGGAGUCGCUAGUAAUCGCAGAUCAGCAACGCUGCGGUGAAUACGUUCCCGGGGCU